rnacentral:rRNA from 1 species
AUCAACGCUGGCGGCGUGCCUAACACAUGCAAGUCGAACGAGAAAGUGGAGCAAUCCAUGAGUAAAGUGGCGACCGGGUGAGUAACACGUGACUAACCUGCCUUCGAGUGGGGGAUAACCUCGGGAAACCGGGGCUAAUACCGCAUAAUGCCUUCGGGUUAAGGAGCAAUUCGCUUGAAGAGGGGGUCGCGGCUGAUUAGCUAGUUGGUGAGGUAAUGGCUCACCAAGGCGAUGAUCGGUAGCCGGCCUGAGAGGGCGCACGGCCACACUGGAACUGAAACACGGUCCAGACUCCUACGGGAGGCAGCAGUGGGGAAUUUUGCGCAAUGGGGGAGACCCUGACGCCGCAAACGCCGCGUGGAGGAUGAAGUCUCUUGGGACGUAAACUCCUUUCGACCGGACGAUGAUGACGGUACCGGUGGAAGAAGCCCCGGCUAACUUCGUGCCAGCAGCCGCGGUAAUACGAGGGGGGCAAGCGUUGUUCGGAAUUAUUGGGCGUUAAAGGGCGCGUAGGCGGUGCGGUAAGUCACCUGUGAAACCUCUGGGCUUAACUCAGAGCCUGCAGGCGAAACUGCCCGUGCUGGAGUGUAGGGAGAGGUGCGCUGGAAUUCCCCGGUGUAGCGGUGAAAUGCGUAGAUUAUCGGGAGGAACACCUGUGGCGAAAGCGGCGCACUGGACCACAACUGACGCUGAGGCGCGAAAGCUAGGGGAGCAAACAGGAAUUAGAUACCCUGGUAGUCCUAGCCCUAAACUAUGGAUGCUUGGUGUGUUGGGUACCCAAUCCCACGUGCCGCAGCUAACGCGGUAAGCAUCCCGCUGGGGAGUACGGUCGCAAGGCUGAAAACUCAAAGGAAUUGACGGGGGGCCCGCACAAGCGGUGGAGCAUGUGGUUCAAUUCGACCGCAACGCGAAGAACCUUACCUGGGCUCGAAGCGCAGUGGACCGGGGUAGAAAUAUCCCUUUCUCGCAAGAGACUGCUGCGGAGGUGCUGCAUGGCUGUCGUCAGGCUCGUGUCGUGUAGAUGUUGGGUUAAGUCCCGCAACGAGCGCACCCUUAUCCCUAGUUGCCAUCGGGUCAAGCCGGGCACUCUAGUGAACCGCCCCGGAUAACGGGGGAGGAAGGUGGGGGAUGACGUCAAGUCCUCAUGGCCUUGUAUGUCCAGGGCUACACCACGUGCUACAAUGGUCGGUAACAAACCGUCCGCAAACCCGCAAGGGGAAGCUAAUCGGAAAUAAGCCGACCUCAGUUCGGAUUGGAGUCUGCACUCGACUCCAAUGAAGCUGGAAUCGCUAGUAAUCGCAGAUCAGCACGCUGCGGUGAAUACGUUCCCGGGCCUUGUACACACCGCCCGUCACAUCACGAAAGUGAGCUGUACUAGAAGUCGGUGAGCUAACCGGCAGGAGGCAUGACCGCCAAGGGUACGGCCCAUGAUUGGGGUG